GAAACGGUCCGUGCCAACACCACGGACUAAUGAACGGUACUCGCAGAAGAAGCACCGGCUAACUACGUGCCAGCAGCCGCGGUUAAUACGUAGGGUGCGGGCGUUAAUCGGAAUUACUGGGCGUAAAGCGUGCGCAGGCGGCUCCUUAAGUCGGAUGUGAAAUCCCCCGGGCUUAACCUGGGAACUGCGUUUGAAACUGAGGGGCUUGAGUGUGGAAGAGGGGGGUGGAAUUCCAGGUGUAGCAGUGAAAUGCGUAGAGAUCUGGAGGAACACCGAUGGCGAAGGCAGCCCCCUGGGCUAACACUGACGCUCAUGCACGAAAGCGUGGGGAGCAAACAGGAUUAGAUACCCUGGUAGUCCACGCCCUAAACGAUGUCAACUGGUUGUCGGGGAAGCAAUUCCUUGGUAACGAAGCUAACGCGUGAAGUUGACCGCCUGGGGAGUACGGCCGCAAGGUUA
rnacentral:rRNA from 1 species